rnacentral:rRNA from 1 species
CCUACGGGUGGCAGCAGUGGGGAAUAUUGGACAAUGGGGGGAACCCUGAUCCAGCCAUGCCGCGUGUGUGAAGAAGGCCCUCGGUUUGUAAAGCACUUUCAGUGAGGAAGAACGCCUGGUGGUUAAUACCCAUCAGGAAAGACAUCACUCACAGAAGAAGCACCGGCUAACUCCGUGCCAGCAGCCGCGGUAAUACGGAGGGUGCGAGCGUUAAUCGGAAUUACUGGGCGUAAAGCGCGCGUAGGUGGCUUGAUAAGCCGGUUGUGAAAGCCCCGGGCUCAACCUGGGAACGGCAUCCGGAACUGUCAAGCUAGAGUGCAGGAGAGGAAGGUAGAAUUCCCGGUGUAGCGGUGAAGUGCGUAGAGAUCGGGAGGAAUACCAGUGGCGAAGGCGGCCUUCUGGACUGACACUGACACUGAGGUGCGAAAGCGUGGGUAGCAAACAGGAUUAGAUACCCUGGUAGUC